AAUGUAAGAAGUUUCCUUUGUUUACUACGCUUAAUUGGGAUUCCACACAUGAAUGAAGAAGAGAAGACGGUCUCUCCCAGGGUGACUGGGAAAGGGAAAAAAAGUGAUGAAGGAACAGUCUGUGCCUCAGGAGCAUAUUAUUUCAAGAAGCACAAAUGAAGAGAAAGUCCAAACCCUCUGGGACAGAUGGACUAAAUAUUUUGGUAUUGGAACCACAUGGGGAAAGGCAGCAGUUGGGAAACAGAAACAGAGGCCUGAUAAGGGAACCUGGAAACAGCAUCAAUCUUCUCAGAAGUUUCCAAGGACUCCAGAUAUGCAGGGAACUGGACACCAAGCUCACGUGAGGAAGGAAUCAAAGUGAAUGAAACAUUGAUCUUGAAGUUAGUAAAAUGCAGUAAGUGAGGAAAAUAUCUGUGUUCUUGUGAAAGAGUUGAUUUCUCAACUUUGGGGUUCUGUAUAAAAAUGACUAAUAUUCAUCAAGCAUUGGCUUUCUACUUAGAACAGAGUGUUUAUAUGAAUUAACUUAUGUAAUCAUCACAUCAGUCUUAUGAUGCAGGCACUGUUCUUACUGCACCCACCUUUUUUCUUAUAUAGACAGAGAGGUAAGUAACCUCCCAGAGUCACAGAAUGUUAGAGUGACUUUGACCGCGUUUAUGUAGUCUCAUGCCUGAGCUCACACUCUUGUGCCUCCCAGGGACUUUAGCAAUCACCUAACUCUGAUUUGCUUCCCUCCCCUCCUUACCCCAGCUUUCUCCCUCACUCCCUAUUCUAAACAAUUAAGAGUGAACUCAAGAGCAUCCAAGGACCUGUGUAGUUGCCUUGAAAUACCCCAAAUAUUUGUGUGUCUUAGGAAUGACAAAUCCCUGGUAAUCAUUACAAUAAUGAUGUGGUAUUAUUAUGAAGUAUUUCAUUAGUACUUAUUCAAUGGUGUUUCUAACAUUGUAUGGUUAAGUAUCACCUCAAGAGUGAAGAAUAAUAAUUGAUGAUAAUGA
rnacentral:lncRNA from 1 species